rnacentral:rRNA from 1 species
CARAUUAAGGGCCGCGGNAUUUUGACCGNUGCCNAAGGUAGCAAUAAUCAUUAGUCUCUUAAUUAGGACUGGGAUGAAGGGUAGAACGAGGUGCAAACUGUCUCUAUGAAAGAGGAGAAGUUAACUUUUUAGUUAAAAGGCUAAAAUAAUGUUAGAGGACGAGAAGACCCUAUAGAACUUUAUAAGUGAGCCAGUUAAGUUUUUAGGAAAAUGUUUCACUUAAACUUAAAACUUAUUACGUUGGGGUGAUGGGGUAAUAAAUUAACUUACCUUAACUGCAACACAAUAGAUGAGUAAAGGAUCCAUGAAUAAUGAAUAAAAAAUUAAGUUACCUUAGGGAUAACAGCGUAAUCCUUUUUGAGAGUUCAUAUCGAUAAGAGGGGUUGCGACCUCGAUGUUGGAUUAAAGGUAAUUUUAGGUGCAGCCGCUUA